rnacentral:lncRNA from 1 species
AAUACUUGCAGUAGUCUCCUUAGGAAGGCCCAUGCACUCUGUAUAACAAGAUGCGUGUACCAAGGGAAGAGGAUCACAGACGUGAUGCCUGCCCAGGUUUUACCUGGGUUCCUCCCUCUCCAAGCAGCAACUUCAGUGGGAAUUGCCAAACAGACUUUACUGCUACACAGCUGACAGCAGUAAAUGCUGUGACUUGAGAUGAAGAGAUGAAAGUGGCUUUCCAUUCUUCUCUCCCUCUCCUUUCAUACUUGCCUGAAAUUGGAUUAGUCCUUUGCUGUGACUGAAACUACAGUGACAGCUUCCUAAAGGUGGCUGGGCAAUAGACCUUUCCCCAUGGUUUUCCCACAAGCGGGGAUAAGGAAGCUGAAGGGAGAUGACAGAGUGAUUACCUGGGCGACUUGCCUGUCUCCAUGACUGCUGCAGACAGAAUUCCUACUCACAAGAGAGGAGACAUAGGGAGAAGGUCGACCUUCUCCCAUGGCAGAUGGGUACCACUGGGAAUCCUGUUAUAAACAAAGAGUGCAGAUUACUUUGCUCUUUUCCAGGAUUAUGUGGGCUAAAUUGUGGCAGCAAACAGAUGCUCUGAGACAUAAACUUUGUGCUAAGUAUUUGCACAGUGUAAGUUUAGGAUAGAGACAGAUGAUUCCUCCUGGAAUACCUGUGAUGAUUUCAGAGGUGAUUGCUCCCCCAGGUGGAGGAAAAAUGAGGUCUCUUCUUCCACUUCAGGGCAAGUAAGACAGGGUAGGUUAAACUGGCUUCUAGUGAAUAUUAAAUAAAUCUGGCAGCUGGCACA